rnacentral:rRNA from 1 species
UACGGAGGGGGCAAGCGUUAUUCGGAAUUAUUGGGCGUAAAGGGCGCGUAGGCGGCUAGAUGUGUCAAAGGUGAAAUCCCUCGGCUCAACUGAGGAACUGCCUUUGAAACUGUCUGGCUUGAGGCCGGGAGAGGGUAGCAGAAUUCCCAGUGUAGCGGUGAAAUGCGUAGAUAUUGGGAGGAACACCAGUGGCGAAGGCGGCUACCUGGACCGGUUCUGACGCUGAGGCGCGAAAGCGUGGGUAGCAAACAGG